rnacentral:tRNA from 1 species
GAUUCGUUGGUUCAAUGGUAGAAUUACCGCUUCCCACGCGGUAGACCCGGGUUCGAUUCCCGGACGAAUUA